rnacentral:rRNA from 1 species
UCUCUAUGCGGUGUCAGCCGCCGCGGUAAUACGUAGGGUGCAAGCGUUAAUCGGAAUUACUGGGCGUAAAGCGUGCGCAGGCGGUUAUAUAAGACAGAUGUGAAAUCCCCGGGCUCAACCUGGGAACUGCAUUUGUGACUGUAUAGCUAGAGUACGGUAGAGGGGGAUGGAAUUCCGCGUGUAGCAGUGAAAUGCGUAGAUAUGCGGAGGAACACCGAUGGCGAAGGCAAUCCCCUGGACCUGUACUGACGCUCAUGCACGAAAGCGUGGGGAGCAAACAGGAUUAGAUACCCUGGUAGUCCACGCCCUAAACGAUGUCAACUGGUUGUUGGGUCUUCACUGACUCAGUAACGAAGCUAAACGCGUGAAGUUGACCGCCUGGGGAGUACGGCCGCAAGGUUGAAACUUAAAUGAAUUGACGGG